UGGUGGUGCCCUUCCGUCAAUUCCUUUAAGUUUCAGCCUUGCGACCAUACUCCCCCCGGAACCCAAAAACUUUGAUUUCUCAUAANUUGUCAAUCCUUACUAUGUCUGGACCUGUUAAGUUUCCCCGUGUUGAGUCAAAUUAAGCCGCAGGCUCCACUCCUAGUGGUGCCCUUCCGUCAAUUCCUUUAAGUUUUAGCCUUGCGACCAUACUCCCCUCGGAACCCAAAAACUUUGAUUUCUCAUAAGGUGCCGGCGGAGUCCUAAAAGACACAUCCGCCGAUCCCUGGUCGGUAUCGUUUAUGGUUGAGACUAGGAUGGUAUCUGAUCGUCUUCGAGCCCCCAACUUUCGUUCUUGAUUAAUGAAAACAUCCUUGGCAAAUGCUUUCGCAGUUGUUCGUCUUUCAUAAAUCCAAGA
rnacentral:lncRNA from 1 species